UACGUAGGGGGCAAGCGUUGUCCGGAAUUAUUGGGCGUAAAGAGCUCGUAGGCGGCUCGUUGCGUCGGCUGUGAAAACCCGCAGCUCAACUGUGGGCUUGCAGCUGAUACGGGCGGGCUGGAGUUCGGUAGGGGAGACUGGAAUUCCUGGUGUAGCGGUGAAAUGCGCAGAUAUCAGGAGGAACACCGGUGGCGAAGGCGGGUCUCUGGGCCGAUACUGACGCUGAGGAGCGAAAGCGUGGGGAGCAAAACGG
rnacentral:rRNA from 1 species